rnacentral:rRNA from 1 species
GCUUAACGCGAAGAACCUUACCUACCUUUGAAUCCACGGAACCUAGCAGAGAUGUUGGGGUGCCUUCGGGAACCGUGAGACAGGUGCUGCAUGGCUGUCGUCAGCUCGUGUCGUGAGAUGUUGGGUUAAGUCCCGUAACGAGCGCAACCCUUGUCCUUAGUUGCCAUCAGGUUAUGCUGGGCACUUUAAGGAGACUGCCGGUGAUAAACCGGAGGAAGGUGGGGAUGACGUCAAGUCCUCAUGGCCCUUACAGGUAGGGCUACACACGUGCUACAAUGGGCAGUACAGAGGGAAGCCAACCCGCGAGGGGGAGCGAAUCUCAUAAAGCUGUUCGUAGUCCGGAUUGGAGUCUGCAACUCGACUCCAUGAAGUUGGAAUCGCUAGUAAUCGCGGAUCAGGAUGCCGCGGUGAAUACGUUCCCGGGUCUUGUACACA